rnacentral:rRNA from 1 species
UACGAAGGGGGGCUAGCGUUGCUCGGAAUUACUGGGCGUAAAGGGCGCGUAGGCGGACAGUUUUAGUCAGAGGUAAAAGCCCAGGGCUCAACCUUGGAACUGCCUUUGAUACUGGCGAUCUCGAGUCCGGGAGAGGUGAGUGGAACUGCGAGUGUAGAGGUGAAAUUCGUAGAUAUUCGCAAGAACACCAGUGGCGAAGGCGGCUCACUGGCCCGGUACUGACGCUGAGGUGCGAAAGCGUGGGGAGCAAACAGG